rnacentral:tRNA from 1 species
GCGUGAGGUCGGAAGUUCAAGUCUUCCCAGGCCCACCAUUUUGAUCGAGUGCGGAGCAUUCGUCUUCUGGUACGGGGCCAUAGCUCAGCUGGGAGAGCGCGUGCUUUGCAAGCAUGAGGUCGUCGGUUCGAUCCCGUCUGGCUCCACCAGAUGGAAUUGAAGCUCGACAGUGCCUCGUUCAUUUCGUCCGCGAAACAUCACUUCGCACUCAUUGGUCCGGAUGGACGGUGACGUGCGUGUUUUCUGACAUCGUAAAGAGGAGAUCGAUCCGAGUUUGGAUCUGCGAAGCAAUUCGCGGGUGCCAUUCCUAAUCUCCAGAUCGUUUUCGGCGCUCGCGCAUCGCGGCUCAUCGCAAGAUGGGUGGGAUGAGCGAGUUGUAAAACGAUCUUUGUAGCGAAGCUUGACCGCCUCGCUAUCGGGCCGAUCUUACGAAGCAAGCUGGUCUUUCUAGUCAAUGUCCGGCUGCGCAAUCGCAUUCAUCGAGGAUGCGCGCCUGGGGCUUCGGUCUUUGGGCAAUUGUGCAGACAACAUUCUGCCGAGUGUGUGGACAUUGAUAAUGAGAGC